AUAGCUGUCCAGUGAGAAUCGAAACGGAUCACCUCGCUCUCUCUCCGAGUCUCGGUAAAACUAAAAACCUCACACAAACAGACCGCUUCUAAUUUUACCGGUCCGUCUACUUUGCUCUCUCCGAGUCCGACUUCUCUCUGCAAUUCGCUAGCUGGACUUCAUCGACUCCGAAAACCCUAGUUUCACUUUGCAGUUCAGUAGCCACUUAUAAAUCCUAGCCAUACACUUGGAUGUGUCUUGGGAACAGACUCCUGAACUGACAUGGGCUUUGAUAUUGAAUGCAUAAUUGACAUCCAUACUUAUCCUGGGGAGUAUUUUUGUCCAGUUUGCCGAACUCUUGUCUACCCAAAUGAAGCACUACAAACACAAUGCACUCAUCUCUAUUGCAAAGCUUGUUUGCCACUUGUUUCUAACGGGAGCAAGGCCUGUCCAUAUGAUGGGUACUUAGUGCUUGAAGCAGAUUCCAAGCCUCUUAUUGAAUCAAACAAGACACUUGCUGAGAGCAUAGGCAAAGUCAAAGUGCGCUGUCUCUUUCAUAAAAGUGGAUGCACAUGGGAGGGCGUUUUAUCUGAGUGUACCUCUCAUUGUUCAGGGUGUGCUUUUGGGAAUUCACCAGUUAUCUGCAACAGAUGUGGAGUGCAAAUUGUGCAUCGACAAGUGCAUGAGCAUGCUCAGAGUUGUCCUGGUGUAUAUCAAGCGCAACAGACAGCAGAAGUUAAUUCUAACUCUCAGUCUGGAGCACCAGCUACUAGUACUGCAGGUGCUGACCAGAAUCGACAAUCUGCUCAACCUGGACCAUUAGCUUCUCAGGUUCAAAAUCCACAAACUACUGCUGCUCCUCAGCUUCCUGGGCAAGAUCUCAAUCAGCAAGCUAAUACCAACUCUCAGGCUCCAGCUGCUGUGGCAACUCCUGAACAGUGGUACCAACAACAGUACCAGCAAUACUAUCAGCAGUAUGCUGGAUAUGACCCUUAUCAGCAUUCUUAUCAACAGUACUAUCCUUAUCAACAAGGCAUGCAACAAUAUCAGCAACACCCGUCGCAUGUGCAAGGGCAACCCCAGCCUCAAGUUUAUACCCAACCUCAGGCUCAGUCCCAGGCACAAUCUCAGCCUCAUUCCCAGGCACAAUCUCAGCCUCAUUCCCAGGCACAACCUCAACUGCCGGCUCAAUCUCAGCCUCAAGCCCAAGUUCCAACACAAGUGCAGGUCCAACCACAUCCACACAUUCAACCGUCAGCUACACAGCAUCAGAACCAAAGUCAAAUGAACCCACAACAACAAUUUCAAUCUCCUGUACAAUCUCAAGCCCAAGUUCCAUCACAGUCUUAUCCACCUGUUCAUGGUCAGCCUCCUCAGCCCUACUCUGUGCAGCCACAUCCACAACAUAUGCAUGUCUCUCAUUAUCAGCAGCCUUCUGCACAAAUGCAUAAUGCCCAGCCUCCAGUCUUACCCCAACCACAUUCACAAGUCCAACCACAACUAAGCAUGCGCCCUCCUCAGUCCAGCCAGCCUGCAGUUCCCAAUGUCCAGCCUCAGACCCUACAUCCUACACCUCAUCCUGUCACAGGACACCAGUCCUACCCACAACCUCAACCUGCACAUCAAAUGCCAGUGGGGGCUGUGGCUAGUGGGUCUUUCCCUUCGGUUCAAGCCCAAGGUCAGAUUCUGCAGCAACGGCCAAUGAUGCACCCUCCACCUGCUCCAAAUGCCAAUCAACAACAGGGUAUGUUGCCUCCUCAAGGUCAAGUUCUUCCUCAGCAAUCCCAUCUUUACCCUAAUACUCAACAUCCAGGCGCUCCAAUUCAGUCACGUCCUCCUCAGGCAAUUCAACAACUGGUACCUCAGCAGCCUUUUGCUGGUCCAUUCCCAAGCCAUUCACACAAGCAAGGUCCCUAUGGGCAGCAGCAACAGUCUCACUUACAUCCACCUGGUCCUCCUCAUAUUGUACCUCAAAGUUCUCAUGCUUCUGUCCAGUCACAGCCAAAUGUUGCUUUAGGGCCUGGUAUGCAUCCACAACCACCGCAAAAUUAUUUUGGAAGAUCAGUAAUGCAAAAUCAAGGGUUGCAGCUUCAGCCAGUGCCCCUUGCUCCUAGUGGGUCUGGUAUUGCACCUUCAGUUCGCACAAUGCAACAUGGUUUAAACCAACCACCAAUUAGUCAAAGCUAUGCAAACUCUGUGAACAACCAGCUUCAAAUUUCUACAGAUCAAAAGAAACAUGUAGUGCAUGAAAGCCAACCUGACCCCUCAUCUGUGAAGCCUGAAAAUAGUGCAGAAGUCACCAUAACUUCCCAAAGCAAUGCUGACAAGGAUGCCACUGUUCUUGAAACUCAAUCAUUUGAAACUAAUGGUACAAAACUGGAAGCAGGCUUGAGUACUGAACAAGAUGCAGCAAAGGAGUGUGCUAAAACUGAGCACCCUGAGAAGGGCAAUUCUAAUGACCCUGUAAUGAAGCAAACAGUUAAGGAAGAGCAUACUGAGAAUGCUUUGGAGCUGUCUUCUGGAGCCAAAUCAGCUGAUGCUGAAGUUGUGAUAGAGAGAGCUUCCUUUGGGAGAAUGCCUGGUCAUUUUCCCCUGUCUAGAGGCAUUGACGCACAGUCUAAUACUUCUCAGGGAUUCCCUUUGAAUGCUUUACCUUCUGGCUCAACUGAAAUUCGAGAUGGAAUGGGAAGAGCAUCACUAACUGGUCCUGAAGGUCACUUUGGCCCACAGCAUGCACCUUUAAAUGUUCCUGAAGGUCACUUUGGGCAGCAGCAUAUGUCUAAUCCAAUGGAAGCUGAAAUGUUUCAGAACAGAAGGAUGAAUGGCUUUGAUAGAGGACUGCCAUAUCAUACUGAAGCAUCUCGUGAUGAAAGGUUGAAAGUCACAGGUGGGGAGCACCCAGGAACUUUACCAGUAGAACCACGCUGGCCAAUUGAUCAAGGUUCUCUUGACAAGGUGCCUCGUGGGUUUGGCUAUGAUGGUAAUGUUGUUGCACCAUCUAGAUUACCGUCCUCAUAUCACCCUCCUGGUGCUCCAUACAUUAAUAACACUGCAGAAAGAGAAGUGCGGCAUGGUCUUCUUAAUGAUGAGAGAAGAAAUGCUGAUUUUGUUCACAGGCAUUCUGACUUUAUGGGACCAGGCCCUGGAUUUGGUCCGCGGCACAUGGAUCGCUUGACACCUAGAAGUCCUGACAGAGAAUUCUUUGGCAUCCCACCACGUGGAUAUCUUCCUCGUGGUCGUGCAGGAUUUGAUGAUGUUGACGGCAGAGAAGCACAAACAUUUGCUGGAGGGUCCAGACCUUUUGGCCUUCCUACUAAUCCAGUUAGUAACUCAUUUCAUGAUGACAGGUUCCAUGCUUUGCAUUGUCACCCACAGGGAGAUGCCAUCAAUGAGCAUGUGGCUGGUGGUCCUCCCCAUAACCAUUUCAGGGGAGGUGAGCUCUUUGGGAAUGAUGUGCCCAGUCAUUUGAGAAUGGUUGAUCCUUUGGGUCCUCGGAAUUUACCAAGUCAUUUGCAUGUGGGAGAGCCUGCAGGUUUUAGUCCAUUUCCAGGUCCUGGAAAUUUGUCUCAUCUACCUUUUAGAGAAUCAUUUGGGGGCAACAAGCCAGGUAUGCCGCGUCUUGGGGAGCCUGGUUUUAGGAGCAGAUAUUCUCUCCACAGAGUUUCUAAUGAAGGAACUUAUAUGGGUGAUGUGGACUCCUUUGAUAGAUCAAGGAAGAGGGCUUCUUUGAGCAUGGGUUGGUGUCGCAUUUGCAAGGUUGACUGUGAAACUGUGGAGGGCCUGGAUAUGCAUUCACAAACAAGAGAGCACCAGAAUAUGGCUAUGGAUAUGGUUAGAAAUAUCAAGGAACAGAACAGAAAGAGACAGAAGAAUCGUGCAGCAGUUGAAGAGGGAGGGAAGAAAAGAAAUGCUGCUUUUGAGGGUUGUGGUAACAAGCCUUGAGUCUAACAGCAUAUUGCAGGGAUUAAAAUGUGGUUUGCCUUUCCAUGCCUUUCUUCCAUCACUGGGGUAUUUUAUCCUAGUUUUGUCAUUUCAGGUUGCUGGCCCUGUUUUGGGAGAUGGUUUUGGAACUCACAUUCUGUUGCAAUCUUUUCGAUUGAACCUGCCUUUUUUGGGUGAUGCUGAAAAGAGAAAAGGAUGACUUCAACCGAGAAAACUCACAUUUUUGUUGGGUGGUAAGGAUAUGUUUGAUGCACUAAUUUUUGUCAAUUGGUAUAUAAGUCAAUAUAGCACUUUAAUUUAAUCAGUAGUCUGCUGGUGAUUGUUACUAUUUUUUGGCUAUAGAAGUAAUUUGACUACCUGACAUUCUAAGUUGACAACUUGUUAGUUCUGUAUUGAUCCAAAUGCAGUAUACUUGUAGCCUUAAAGCUUUUAUAGUUUGCAAUUUGAGUUGCUGUAGUUCACAUUGUACCAACUACCAAGCAAUGACAUGGCUAAUUGGGAGUACCUUUGUUUAUAUAGCUCUCUAGGUUAUGAGAUUCCAUGUAGCUUCCUUAAAAUGAAACCAUAGGUGCAUUACCAUAAAUGUUAGAUAAAGAGAAGAGAAAAUUUGUGACUUCUGAAAAAAAUUUAGGGGGUGUGGCACCCAAACUUUAUCUUUGUUUAUAGAUACAUUUCAAAUGAACCCUGUAGCAUGUUUAGAACUGCCUAAUAGGAUCAUACAAAGUACGCGGGAAACAAUUCAACAUUUUGUGUAGGGCUUUUAAAUAAUGGGCUAGUUGUAGAGCACGUCUAUUCUGCUUGCAACAUUUGUACAAUUUUGUUUAGGGCAAUGAAUUUUUCUAGGUGAUAAUUACACUAUAUUAGAUGACUAUGACUUCUUGUCUAUUGAAAUUUAAUAUCUAACUACUUAACUACUACAUAGCUGAUAAUAUAAUUAAGGAAAAAGGUUCAAAUUAGCCAUCAAACUACACAUAAUAGUGUAAUUGGGCCAUCCAACUUAAAAAAAGUGCAAUUAGGUCCCUGAACUAUUCGACCAAAUUUGACAUGCUCUUUAGGUCAUCAUUGACGUGAUGACCAUCCUAUUAAAAAAUUAUUUUUUAAAUUUAUUAUAAUAAAUUUAAAUAAAAUAAAAUAAAAAAUAGAGAAAAGAAAACCCCACCCCCCUUCCCGUCUUAGUCUCCUAAGAUAACUCCCCCCCCCUUGUCAUCGUCUCCAACUAGAGACGAAGAAACAUCUUCGUCCUUGGCCUGGAGACAGAAAACAUUUCGUCUCUGGUCAGAGACGAAGACGGGGAGGGGGUGGGGCUUUUUUCUAAAUAUAAAUUUAAAAUUAUUAAAAUAAUUUAAAAAUAAUAAUUUUUAAUGGGAUGAUCGCCACAUUAGCGAUAACUUGAUGAACAUGUCAAAUUUGGUCAAAUUGCAUAAUUUUAGACCAUUUAGGAACCUAAUUGCACUUUUUUUUUCGAGUUGGAUGAUCCAAUUGCACUUUUGCGUGUAGUUCCAUGACUAAUUUAAACAUUUUUCCUUUAAUUAAUGGAAAGUUUGGCAUUGGUGAGGUUGCAUACAAAUGAUGUGUAACAAACAAUUUGUUAUGGAUAUGCCUUCAUUUGAAGGAUAUGCCCUGUUCCUAGAACAGACCAUGCUCACCUGUGAAAUGUCACACACAUCUAUUGUAUUAUUGGUGGAUCUUUGAGUUCAUUAGUCUGCUUAUCUUGGAAUUGUUGGAGAAAUCUGAAUGCGAGUGGAUUUUCUUUAUAUACAUAAUAUUUUUUUCGUGAGUGAUGGUGUGUGGUGUUGGGAGGAGAAGAGAGUGAUGGGAUCCUUAUUGACUUGCACAUUUUUUUUUUCUCCUCUCUUGAUCCUCCUUUUGUCCUUUGGAAAAAUGAGAAAUGAUCUUGGGCUCUUUAGCAAAAUAUAGACUCAAGUCUGUUUCAUUAAUUGUCUUUAAGAAAAAAUGGAUUCUUGUUCUUCUAUGACAGGUAAUUAGAUUAUCUAGAAGGAACAUUUAUUCCCAUUUCAGAUUUUAGAGAUAGGAUUCUAUAUCCCUAGGAUAACAUGUCAUUUGAUAUCCCAACCAAUUACAUUUUAACAACAACAAUUAGAUUAUCUAGAAGGAACAUUUAUUCCCAUUUCAGAUUUUAGAGAUAGGAUUCUAUAUCCCUAGGAUACCAUGUCACUUGAUAUCUCAACCAAUUACAUUUUAACAUUUCAUUGAUUUUCGGAGAGAGAAGAAUUUAAUAUUUCAUUUAGUCAAUGGAUCUUUUUCUCUAUGAAAAUCAAUGAAAUAUUGAAAUGUGAUUGGUUGGGAUACUAAGUGACGUGGUAUCCCGGACAUAUACAAUCUUAUGUUAUUGUGAGUAGUGGGUGACUGGGUGCAAGUCUCACCAGAAUUUAGAAUUCUGCCUUUGAGGUUAGUUAAAAGAUUAUUAAGCCGUUGAUUGCCUUUCUGGUCUUUGACGUAUAUUGCGUCUCUCUGGUGUGUAGUUUCUGUUCCAUAUAAAUUUGCAUGCCGAUCUCCCUUGUAAGUUCUUUGUAGGAUGUGAUGAAGGCUCUAUCUAUGGUGGGCAAUUUCUGUGAUGCACCCUUUGGUUCACAGCUCGAUAUCAAAGACAAUUGCAAUGUGUGGUCACCAGGGUAAUUUGGCUUUCUUUUCUCACUGGUUUUGUUUUGUUUUGUUUUGUUUUGUUUUUUUUUUUUGUUUGUGCUUUUGUUUUUGUUUUUGUUUUGUUUUGUUUUUGUUGUAUUGGGGGUGAUAUGGCUCUGCGUGCAUCAAAUUCAGUGCUGCAUUCAUUGAGCAAAUUAUAUUAUGCACCCCAGCCGAGUUCAUCUUAUAAGAUGGACUCUGAUACAUUUAUUUUUAGUGUAUACAAGUUCAAACUGAACGUGUAGUAGUAUACUAAAAAUAAACUUGUAUUAGGGGUUCAUCUUGUAGUAUACUAAAAAUAAACUUGUAUUAGGGGUUCAUCUUACAAUAUGGCCCUGCUCCAUAAUAUAACCAUUGUUGUACAUUGGCAAAAUACUGAAUCUUGCAGAUUUACAGAAUUUCUAUAGUUGUAAUAGUAAACACAGUUAAAUGCA